rnacentral:rRNA from 1 species
UACGUAGGGGGCAAGCGUUGUCCGGAUUUAUUGGGCGUAAAGAGCUCGUAGGUGGUUUGGUAAGUCGGAUGUGAAAUCUCCAGGCUCAACCUGGAGGGGUCAUUCGAUACUGCCAUACUAGAGGUCGGUAGGGGAGUGUGGAAUUCCUGGUGGAGCGGUGAAAUGCGCAGAUAUCAGGAGGAACACCCGUAGCGAAGGCGGCACUCUGGGC